CUUUUUAUUAGCUCACCUGGCCCGAAGGGCCAAGUGAGCUUUUCUCAUCACUUGGCGUCCGGCGUCCGGCGUCGUCCGGCGUCGUUAACUUUUACAAAAAUCUUCUCCUCUGAAACUGCUGGGCCAAAUUUAACCAAACAUGACCAAAAUCAUUAUUAGGGUAUCUAGUUUAAAAAUUGUGUCCGGUGACCCGCCCAACCAACCAAGAUGGCUGCCAUGGCUAAAAAUAGAACAUAGGGGUAAAAUGCAGUUUUUGGCUUAUAACUCAAAAACCAAAGCAUUUAGAGCAAAUCUGACAGGGGUAAAAUUGUUUAUCAUGUCAAGAUCUAUCUGCCCUGAAAUUUUGAGAUGAAUCGGACAACCCGUUGAUAGGUUGCUGCCCCUGAAUUGGUAAUUUUAAGGAAAUUUUGCUGUUUUUGGUUAUUAUCUUGAAUAUUAUUAUAGAUAGAGAUAAACUGUAAACAGCAAAAAUGUUCAGCAAAGUAAGAUCUACAAAUAAGUCAACAUGACCAAAAUGGUCUGUUGACCCCUUUAGGAGUUAUUGCCCUUUAUAGUCAAUUUUUAACCAUUUUUCGUAAAUCUUAGUUAUCUUUUACAAAAAUCUUCUCCUCUGAAACUACUGACCAAA
rnacentral:lncRNA from 1 species